GGUAUCAGAGCCACUUGCCUAGAGCAAGCUCUCUUCUCGCUGCCAAUUCAUCAUUGGUGUUGCCACUCUGCGCCAACGUCCGUUCCCUUCCGCUACGGCAUCUCUAGUGCUGCUCAUCAGCACUGCCCCACCUUUCUUCGUCGUUGUAGCUAUUUUCCUUCUUCUUCUGCUACACUUUCCUCUUCUACUACAGCUUCCUCCUCUGUUGCAGUUUCCUCCUUUGCUGUAGUAGCAUCACUGCAACAUUGCUGUAGAUUUCUUCUCUACCGUCGCAGCCGUCGUAAUCGCAACCACGACCAACGUCGUUGAGAAAAGCGAAGCUUCGCUCUUGCCUUCGGUAAGCGACCAACGUCGCUGAGAAAAGUGAAGCUUCACCCUUCGGCCAGCGACCAACGCCGUUGCAUUCCUAAGAGGCUCCGUGGUCAAUCCUCAUCUUCCUCACCGCGGUAGUCUUCGUUGAUCUGUCAACAUUCGGCAGACUUAAGGAGAAUGAAGGGAACGCCUGUGUCAUCACAGCAACAGCAAUCGCAGCAACAGCAGCAGCGAUCUACACUUAUCUUACUCACGAAGCCUCUUUCUUACCGAUCCAAGAUUGGUAUCCUUGUCAGGAGCACCAUCUUGCGGGGGCAUGAUAGAAGAUGAUCCAAGAUUGGUAUCCUUGUCAGGAGCACCAUCUUGCGGGGGCAUGAUAGAAGAUAAGAUUUUCCCACUAUAUGAGGAAAUCUUAUCUAUUCUGUUGAGGAAAAUCAUUUAUUCUGUUGAGGAAAAUCCUCCCUCUUAAUCCUAUAAAUAGGAGAGGAACAUGUUAAUGUAUUCAAG
rnacentral:lncRNA from 1 species